UACGAAGGGGGCUAGCGUUGCUCGGAAUCACUGGGCGUAAAGCGCACGUAGGCGGAUUGUUAAGUCGGGGGUGAAAUCCUGGAGCUCAACUCCAGAACUGCCUUCGAUACUGGCGAUCUUGAGUCCGGGAGAGGUGAGUGGAACUCCGAGUGUAGAGGUGAAAUGCGUAGAUAUCUGGAGGAACACCGGUGGCGAAGGCGGCAUCCUGGACCAACACUGACACUGAGGAGCGAAAGCCAGGGGAGCAAACGGG
rnacentral:rRNA from 1 species